GGCUAACGCUGGCGGCGUGUCUUAGCCAUGCAAGUCGAGCGGACUUAUGGGGUAACUUAUAAGUCAGCGGCGGACGGCGGAGUAACACGUAGCUAACCUACCCUCUGGACGGGGAUAACCUACCGAAAGGUGGGCUAAUACCCGAUGUAGUCAUCCUGUAUAGGGGUGAUGAAAGGUGGGCUUCUGUUUACAAGCUCAUGCUGGAGGAGGGGGCUGCGGCCUAUCAGGUAGUUGGUAGGGUAAUAGCCUACCAAGCCGAUGACGGGUAGCCGGCCUGAGAGGGUGACCGGCCCGAGGGGCACUGAGAUACGGGUCCCACUCCUACGGGAGGCAGCAGGCUAGAAAUUUGGGCAAUGGGGGAAACCCUGACCCAGUGACGCCGCGUGCAGGAAGGAGCCCUUCGGGGUGUAAACUGCUGUCGUGUAGGGAGAAGGGUACUAAGGUGAACAAUCUAGUACUGACGUAUACAGGAGGAAGCCCAGGCUAACCUCGUGCCAGCAGCCGCGGUAAGAUAGCGUACU
rnacentral:rRNA from 1 species